UGGGGAAUCUUGCACAAUGGGGGCAACCCUGAUGCAGCGACGCCGCGUGAGCGAUGAAGCCCUUCGGGGCGUAAAGCUCUUUCGACCGGAACGAUAAUGACGGUACCGGGAGAAGAAGCUGCGGCUAACUACGUGCCAGCAGCCGCGGUAAUACGUAGGCAGCAAGCGUUGUUCGGAGUUACUGGGCGUAAAGAGUGCGUAGGCGGUUUUCUAAGUUCGGUGUGAAAUCUCCCGGCUUAACUGGGAGGGUGCGCCGAAGACUGGGAAGCUGGAGUGUGGGAAAGGCAGGCGGAAUUCCUGGUGUAGCGGUGAAAUGCGUAGAUAUCAGGAGGAACACCGGCGGUGUAGACGGCUUGCUAGACCAUAACUGACGCCGAGGCACGAAAGCGUGGGUAGCAAACA
rnacentral:rRNA from 1 species